rnacentral:rRNA from 1 species
UACGUAGGUGACAAGCGUUGUCCGGAUUUACUGAGCGUAAAGAGCGCGCAGGCGGUCGAUCAAGUCGAGUGUGAAAGCCCCCGGCUCAACUGGGGAGGGUCAUUCGAUACUGAUCGACUCGAAGGCAGGAGAGGGUAGUGGAAUUCCCGGUGUAGUGGUGAAAUGCGUAGAUAUGCGGAGGAACACCGAUGGCGAAGGCAAUCCCCUGGGCCUGCACUGACGCUCAUGCACGAAAGCGUGGGGAGCAAACAGG